ensembl:snoRNA SNORD22 Small nucleolar RNA SNORD22
UCCCAGGGAAUAUACAGUCACAUGUCUUAACUCUCAUCAUGGUCCCAGAGCUUGUAAAAGUGAGCCCACAGGGCUGACUUGGAGAAGAAAGGUUUGUUUCAGGAUGAACUGUCUGAGAGAU